GGCCCAAUGGUCUAGUAGUAUGAUACCUGCUUCGGGUUGAGUUCCAUCCGACUUUCGGAUCUGCAGGUGGUCCCGGGUUCAAUUCCCGGUUGGGCCC